rnacentral:rRNA from 1 species
GACGAACCGUACAAACGUUAUUCGGAAUCACUGGGCUUAAAGGGUGCGUAGGCGGCCUGGCAAGUUGGGUGUGAAAUACCUCGGCUCAACCGAGGAACGGCGCUCAAAACUGCCAGGCUAGAGGGAGAUAGAGGUGAGCGGAACUUAAGGUGGAGCGGUGAAAUGCGUUGAUAUCUUAAGGAACACCCGUGGCGAAAGCGGCUCACUGGAUCUCUUCUGACGCUCAGGCACGAAAGCUAGGGGAGCGAACGGG